UGUAAAUACAGGUAGUUGUUUCUCUCUUUUGUCGAUUUCGUUGAGAAACAAUCUGACCUUCAGACCGUUGGAUUUUACCACUGGGACAGACUUCCACAGGUAAAUAGCUACAGACCAUUCGUCUCAAGAGGAUCCACAACAGUACACCCACGGCCGUGCCACGAGUCCAAAUAAGUUCUAGGUUCAAACGAAGAAAGAAAAUGUCUCAAGUGUCAUGUUUUCAUUGACCUGACCUGAUCCAGACGGCCGUUGAGUCGGUUCCUGUGUUUGCUAGUGUAGGAUGCUGUGGAAACAGUACAUUAACAGGGCCAGAUUGGAUUACAUCACCAAAAGGACUUCAACAGGAAGCGUGUGGCUGGCGAGUUUCAAUGCCACCUCAAAGGCUUGUUAUCGGGUGUUGUAUGUCUGCGUACUUAUAAACCACCACUCUGGAUUAUAUAUACAGUUAUUUCACGAUCUUUUCUUGGACACGUCUGGGUUUGUGUGGUGUCUGGCAAACUACAUGACUCAUGUCGCGAUGCCAAUGUGUGACCUUCCAGAAUGAUUACCCCUUGUGAUAGAAAAACAUAUUCGUUUUCCACAAGACGAAGGUAAUCAGCUUUGGUAAACCUCUUUCGUGACAUCAAAGAUUUCCUGAUGCUGUAUUUGCU